rnacentral:rRNA from 1 species
AGUGAACGCUGGCGGUAGGCCUAACACAUGCAAGUCGAACGGCAGCACAGUAAGAGCUUGCUCUUACGGGUGGCGAGUGGCGGACGGGUGAGGAAUACAUCGGAAUCUACUUUUUCGUGGGGGAUAACGUAGGGAAACUUACGCUAAUACCGCAUACGACCUACGGGUGAAAGCAGGGGAUCUUCGGACCCUGCGCGAUCGAAUGAGCCGAUGUCGGAUUAGCUAGUUGGCGGGGUAAAGGCCCACCAAGGCGACGAUCCGUAGCUGGUCUGAGAGGAUGAUCAGCCACACUGGAACUGAGACACGGUCCAGACUCCUACGGGAGGCAGCAGUGGGGAAUAUUGGACAAUGGGCGCAAGCCUGAUCCAGCCAUACCGCGUGGGUGAAGAAGGCCUUCGGGUUGUAAAGCCCUUUUGUUGGGAAAGAAAAGCAGCAGGUUAAUACCCCGCUGUUCUGACGGUACCCAAAGAAUAAGCACCGGCUAACUUCGUG